UCCUGUAUCGAAAGUGAUCGUGGCGUUGUCACUGUAGCCAGGUCAUUGAUAAUUCAGGAAGAGUGAACUGAAAGUCUUUCCCGUGUUUGCUGGACUCUCUUUUCCUGACAAACCCUGUAUCUUUCAGACA